rnacentral:lncRNA from 1 species
CAAAGAUGUAGACAGUCGCAGUGACAACAGUUGAAGAGAUAUUUAGGAGUGAAUCUGACAGACCCUGGUGAUGACGGGGGUGUGAGCCUCCCACAUUUCUAGUUGGGGCAACUGGACACUUGGUGCCCCGCACUGCAAUAGCUUUUGUUUCAUUAUGUAGAUCUGACCUUUACCUCACAAAGGUGCUGGCACGGAGAAGACGCUUUGAAAACUUUCUCCCCUACCAAAGUGUUGAAGUCAAGAUGAAGGCACCACCUUCCCAUGAAGGCACCACCUUCCCAUGAAGGCACCACCAUUACCAGUCCCAGCCCUGGGCCUCACAUGUUCCCUUCUGGCUGUCCUGGGACACUGAUGCUCACGAAUGCUGUCUCAGGUGCCUCCUUAUUCAGUGUUGAAUCAAAAAUCUUGGCUGUCCUUCCUGGAGGGCCCUUGAAUCCCACUUAACCUGGCUGGUGUGAUGUGCUCUGCAGGAGGGAAGCAAUGAAGCAGAACAGGAUGAUCACAAAUUGAGAACUGUUCUUCCAAAUAAUAGAAAGGGAGAAAUUAGACCAAAUGCCUUUUCCAUCAUUUCUCUCAUCCCUGUCCAAUUUUGCAUAAGGAAUCCCUGGGAACUGUGAAAGGUAUAUUCUCUCUGCACUUGCAGGAUGACCUCCGAAGAGGUCACUGUCACUCCCAAGGCCUGUGUGACCCCG